UUCGGGUUCCUUGGGAUGUACAUUCAGUCGAAUUGAGCAGUUCAUAGACUUUCCCAGAGGGUCCGUGCUAUUCGGGAUCCUUGGGAUGUCCCUACCUCUAUCAAGUAAAAAUGUGAAAUGCUUACGUUUAGUGUUAGUUUAGAGUAAGGACGUCCCAAGGAAUCCCGAUUGCAGUGACCGUUCAUAGACUGAGAGACUGGCACGGUAUUUGAGAGCUCGGCGGCGACACAGACAAGCGGCAGAAGCGAUUUUCGAGUGUCUGCCCCAGAUAGUUUCCUUAGAGACGAUGAAAAGAAUGACCAAGAUGUACUUGAUCCAAUUGAGGAUCAAGAUGUGAUGAGACAGAGCAACCAAUCAACUUCACUGCAGCUGCUCAAACCACCACCCUCACUUUUCUCCCUCCGUAUUUGCAUUUAAUGUAUGUAUAUAAAUACUGCCGCUAGGGGAGCUGUGACGUCAAUGGAGUGCGUUAGUGAGAUCUUUCACAUUUCUUCAUUAUGGAGAAUGACUAGUUCUGAAAACUAACGUUUCUUCGUCUCAUAAUUUUAUUCAAUUAUUUCAGGUAUGUAAUGUGCAAAAGUGCAAUAUGACUCAAAAUAUUGAGGUAACAUGGUUAAUUACAUAGUCCAUGAGUUUGAUGAUGUUUGAAGGCAACUGAAGGGAGUGUUAACCGAGUGAAAAACUGGUUGGUAUUUUCUCCAUUGUAAGUAAUGGAGUUAGGCUAGCUUGCUAAUGGUUUACGUGUAAGAGAAGGAAUUAAGACGUCUGAACUUUUUGUACUUUUAUUUUACAACGUUUUAGAUCCAAUUUGUUUUAUUUUCUAUGAACAAAAGCCUCAGUUUACGUAAGGUAAUAUAUGUAAAUGUGAUGUCACGAUAAAAUAUGUUAGUGUUAAUAUUUGUACAAAAAUAGCGUUUAACAGUUCUCUAGCUUGAUGCUAACCAAAUUUAGCUUGGCUAAGUGCUAGUUAGCUCUAGCCUAGUUAGUUUUAGUCAAUGUCAGCUUACAUGUUAGUGGUUUAUAAUGUAAUGGUUGUACCAAUGUUUCGCAUAGGCGUCCAGUAAUUACGUUUUUUGAAAUUGACACUGAUAGUACAGUGAGUUGUAGAUAUAUGGUGACUCCAGGUUUGGAUGAACGGACCUUGACGGGUACCAGGAAUUGUAGGACAACCAGAAGGUAAUUAUCUUUGCACACAACAGCAGCGUCCAGGCCUCCAGAUUAUUCACUUUAUCGCCUGCUGUUCUGACGGGAGCCACAGCUGUUUACUGGGGUUGCCUAUACUGUAGUAUAACAAAUGUGUGAUUGACUUAGUGUUUUUCUAUUGAUAUUUUUGUAUAACGUACUUUGAGAUCACUGAUACUCCACCUGAUGUGGUGGAAGUUGUCAAACCAGAUCAGAACGCCUUCGAGGACCACCUUCAUGCAAGGAUGUGGAGGUUUUUGACCAGGUGAGACUGAACAUGGACAAGGCGCAUGAGAAAAAGGAGAGUCACCAGAGGUGAAUCAAGGGAACCAAAUAUUCGACAUCUGGGCUAUGACUUGGCUUGGAAGAAGGACGAAAGGAAGGUGAGACCUGGAAAAGCUUUGUGCUCUUUCGCUCCUAGCUGGGGUCAACAUCCGUUAAGGUGAAUCUAAAAAUCUCAGAUGAUAACUAUUUGCAUUUGCCGCCUCAUGGUGGGCGACAUCAUCACGCUGUCAGCAGUACCAUCACUGGCCCAGAGAUUUCUCCAAAUAGUCAAUCUCAAGGCUAACCACUGGGUCACGUUAAGUAACCGCCACUUCCAGGUAGGUAGUUAAGGUGUAUGACUCCAGUGGUCAUGACAACAUCCUGGAGUUUCUCUCACAACUCAUCUCUAUCUUGUCCAGGGACCAUCCCUUACCUCCCUCAUCAACCCCUCUGACAUAAAAAAAAUUGACAUGUAUCCUUUCUUUUCUGUCUGCCAUUAACAUUAUUGCAUGUCUAAUCAAACAUUUAAAUUAAAUCAUUCAAUAACUGUAUUUUUACAUACAUGAUAAUCCCUUGACCUGUGUGUUUGCUUGUUUAAAUCUGUAUCCUACCCUUUUCCCUUUACUCUGCUCCUGUUCUCCAGGACCUAGGGGUUCUGCCUAACACCCAGACAUGGAUCCACCUGAUGUCCUCCAUAACCAACCACCCUCUAACUUUUCAUUACAUCAGCUACUGUUAUUGUCAUUAUCUGCUAAGAGCAAUAAAACUAUCAUACUGGCCACAUAAUGUGAGAUGCACAGAUUAGCUAAAAACACUAGCACUUCAAACAUUCAGAACAGAGGGCAGCAGCGCCUGGACUUUGCAGUUUCCCUCAUCAAGUCCACCUUCCAAGACUGACUACUUGUUGAAAACAAGUGACAGGCAGAACCUCCCAUCCACACAGUGCCCAACUCCUCUCUAUUCCACACACCAGAAUUCAGUAUUUCAGUCUAUGAUUACCAUGUGAGUGUACAAACAUAUCUGAAAAUAAAUUGACACGUACCAAAAAUGUUUUACAUUUAUGUAUUUAAAUCUAAAAUACUGCCAGAUUGGUUUUCACAGCUGUUUCGUAAGGUUUUCAUUAUUGUAAAUUGUAACGUAUCCCUUGAUGGUGUUUGUUAGUUCAACAUUAUUCAUUGUUGUAUCAUAAGACAUACAAUAAAUAUAUAUUCAACCACAA